rnacentral:rRNA from 1 species
UACGAAGGGGGCUAGCGUUGCUCGGAAUCACUGGGCGUAAAGCGCACGUAGGCGGGUUGUUAAGUCGGGGGUGAAAUCCUGGAGCUCAACUCCAGAACUGCCUUCGAUACUGGCGACCUUGAGUCCGGGAGAGGUGAGUGGAACUCCGAGUGUAGAGGUGAAAUUCGUAGAUAUUCGGAAGAACACCAGUGGCGAAGGCGGCUCACUGGCCCGGUACUGACGCUGAGGUGCGAAGGCGUGGGGAGCAAACAGG